rnacentral:rRNA from 1 species
UGGGGAUAUUGCACAAUGGGCGCAAGCCUGAUGCAGCCAUGCCGCGUGUGUGAAGAAGGCCUUCGGGUUGUAAAGCACUUUCAGCGAGGAGGAAGGUGGUGAACUUAAUACGUUCAUCAAUUGACGUUACUCGCAGAAGAAGCACCGGCUAACUCCGUGCCAGCAGCCGCGGUAAUACGGAGGGUGCAAGCGUUAAUCGGAAUUACUGGGCGUAAAGCGCACGCAGGCGGUUUGUUAAGUCAGAUGUGAAAUCCCCGGGCUCAACCUGGGAACUGCAUUUGAAACUGGCAAGCUAGAGUCUCGUAGAGGGGGGUAGAAUUCCAGGUGUAGCGGUGAAAUGCGUAGAGAUCUGGAGGAAUACCGGUGGCGAAGGCGGCCCCCCUGGACGAAGACUGACGCUCAGGUGCGAAAAGCGUGGGGGAGCAAAACAGAUUAGNUACCCUGGUAGU